AUUACAGGUCUGUAUAUAACACAACCCAUUUGAAACACGGCUAUUGAACUGGUGUGCUACGUCAUGCCAGCGAAGGCGUUGAUUGGUUUAGACAGCAGGCCGGUUAAAACCGCUAAGGACAGCCGCAGAGCAGUCACCUGCCGAAUCAGUCAGCCCUUGAUAUUUUUACCCGAAAGAUUAAUACUGAGGUGUUGGUUGGCAUAGAAAACGGGCCGGUUAAAUCCGCUAAGGACAGCUGUAAAGCAGUCACCUGUCGAGUCGAUCAGCCCUUGAUAUUUUUACCCGAAAGAUUAAUACUGAGGUGUUGGUUGGCAUAGAAAACGGGCCGGUUAAAUCCGCUAAGGACAGCUGUAAAGCAGUCACCUGUCGAGUCGAUCAGCCCUUGAUAUUUUUACCCGAAAGAUUAAUACUGAGGUGUUGGUUGGCAUAGAAAACGGGCCGGUUAAAUCCGCUAAGGACAGCUGUAAAGCAGUCACCUGUCGAGCCGAUCAGCACUAUGGAAUACAAUGAUAUACCUAUACAAAAUUUCUAUACUUUGACCGGGGUACCUAACCUGUCACAUGCUCUGAUGGUGUUCUCGUGACUUCUGUUGCCAGAUCUGCCAAGGGCGAUGGGAUAGUGCGCGACCUAAUGGUUGUGUGCAAGGUUUGAAGAAGGCUGUAUGCUAUAUGCGUGCGCCUCGCCCUGAUAAUGUUCACCUACUUUUACACUGUUUAAGCGAUCCGGUUUGGCUUGCCAUUCACGGGUUUGCUGCCCCGCAUGCACCUGGCUUCGUGCUGGACUGCAUGUACGCUGGCCCGGUAGACUUGCGCCCGGGUUGCAGCCUCGAACCUUUAGUUCUAUGCAUCUGGGUAACCGGUGUGUAGGAUUAUUGGAGUACAACUUUGAGCGGUGGAUCACUCGGCUCGUGUGUCGAUGAAGAGUGCAGCCAACUGUGUGAAUUAAUGUGAACUGCAUACUGCUUUGAACAUCGACAUCUUGAACGCAUAUUGCGGCUACGGGAUAUCCUGUGGCCACGUCUGUCCGAGGGUCGGCUUUUCAUCUAUCACGACGCACUUUAAGUCGUGGAUUGGGCGAGUGCCUGCCGGCGUAUACCCGUAUAUCAACGCGGGUUGCUGGUCAAAGGCUCCGUCCGAAUUUGUCCGGCCACAGCCUAGUCUGGUGUAGAACUUCUGAUUGAGUCCCCACGGUGGGUUGUGCUCGAGUCGUGGCUUAAUGAUAUACACAUAUACAGAUAUACAAACGCUCGAGAGUACAUGACCUAUCGUGAAUACACACGUAUAUAUAUAAAUGAAAGGCUCUAUUGGAGGUCUAUACAUAGUCUAUGGUUGCACCGAGGGUGUGUUAUACACAUUAUCAAUCUUACCCUGACCUCGGAUCAGAUGUGAAUACCCGCUGAACUUAAGCAUAU
rnacentral:rRNA from 1 species